UACGGGGGGAGCAAGCGUUGUUCGGAUUUACUGGGCGUAAAGGGCGCGUAGGCGGUCAGCACAAGUCAGUUGUGAGAUCUCCGGGCUUAACUCGGAAAGGUCAACUGAUACUGUGCGACUAGAGUGCAGAAGGGGCAACUGGAAUUCUCGGUGUAGCGGUGAAAUGCGUAGAUAUCGAGAGGAACACCUGCGGCGAAGGCGGGUUGCUGGGCUGACACCGACGCUGAGGAGCGAAAGCGUGGGGAGCGAACAGG
rnacentral:rRNA from 1 species